rnacentral:ribozyme from 13 species
GUGAUAAACCACAGGAAAGAGAACAGAAUUCAAAAGCUUCAAUUGGUUGAUAUUGUGGCAAGUGACAUGUCCUAAAUCAGUUCGCAGGACCUUUUUCUUCUUGUUGUCUUCUUCUCCUCCCAUGACUUUGUUGUUGUUCUAGAAAGACAGAAAGAAAG